UACAGAGGGGGCAAGCGUUGUCCGGAUUUAUUGGGCGUAAAGAGCGUGUAGGCGGCCAGAUAGGUCAGCUGUGAAAACUCGAGGCUCAACCUCGAGAUGUCGGCUGAAACCAUCUGGCUAGAGUCCGGAAGAGGAGAAUGGAAUUCCCGGUGUAGCGGUGAAAUGCGCAGAUAUCGGGAAGAACACCAGUAGCGAAGGCGGCUCGCUGGGCCGUUCCUGACGCUGAGACGCGAAAGCGUGGGGAGCAAACAGG
rnacentral:rRNA from 1 species